rnacentral:lncRNA from 1 species
AUUUUUUUUCAUACAUUUUUUAGGAUGAAUACUCAAAAUCAAUGUUGUCUAAAAAAGCUGAUUAAUGGGUGCUUAAAUGUGCAUUUUUUUUACAUAAAAAAUAAGAGUAAGGUAAAACGACUGAAAUAUGUCUCAUAAUUCUGUAAAAGCAUAUGAAAAUUAAAAAUGUAAGUUGAUAACCCCAUCUUUGUUAGUUGGUUGUACCAUAUUAAUCUUACCAAAUUUUAAAAGAUACUACAAAAAAAAGCGACCAAUUAAACAGCUUCUCAUUGUAGAUACUUCUUCACUUUUAACAUAUCCCGCUUGACGCUUGAAUAUCUGAUCUUUCUUAGAAAUUACCCAAAUAGAAAAAUAAACUAGGCGAUUAACAGAAAAGAAAAUACCCCCCCCCCCCCAAAAAAAAAGAAGAAAAAAUGUGCAAAAAAAAAAAAAAAAAAAAAGACUGAAAAAUGGGGUGCUAAAAUGUACAAUUUUCUUAUAUAAAAAUUAAGAAUAAGGUAAAACGAGUGAAAUAUUGAACUGGUCGUAAUCGGAAUUGGUCAAUUGAUGUACGUAAGCAUUGCAAUUUCUGUACAUCCAUAACCAUCAGUAUUUUGCUCAAAAAUCACGAUCUUGCAUCAGGAGUUAACAAAUCUUGACGUAUCAUUUCGUCCACUAUUACAGACAAAGUCAACCUAACAUCCUUCUCCUGCAUUGUGUCAGAAAUUACACAAACAUUACCCCAUAAUAAAACAGUUCGUGUCAGAGAUCAGACCAAUAUGAUCAUUGACAAAAACGCUGCAAUAGUGGAAAACAAAUUGAAAACAACAAAUCAGAAAUAUGGCAAAGAGACGAAGGUCAACUUUGUCCGAGUUGAAAUCUCAGUUUCUUUAGAUUUUUCAAAAUUUAUAAAUGAACAACUAACGGUAAUUAAAGUCAUAAGAAACCUCAAAUUAAAAAAAAAUAAUGCAUAUGUUUUUUAUAACUCAAUGGAUAGUUUUCAUUAUAAAACUUAUGUACAUAUACUUUUUUUCUGAAGAAAAUUCUUUAAUUUGUUCAUAUUAAGAAGAAGUUUACAUUAUUCUAAUUGUUUCCUUCCAGGAAGCAAUUCCCCGACAUAUUUUCCGUAUGCAAAGUGACCUCCGUGUGACCCAUCUCGUAAAAAUCCGGUGAUCGCAAUACGCAUGGAUGUCCUUAAAAUAAACUAUUAUCUGAUUGUACAUGUUAAACACGUGCUCAAUAUCCAUGCUUUUUGGUGGAUUGUUGACAAACAGGUGACAAUCGUUAAACUUCGGCUUCAAAACACGAACUUUAAUUACCUGCUAUAUUUUCACAACACUGACCGAUUGAAAAAAAAAUUGACGAUUAUACGAAAUUUAUGCGAAAAAAAUUAUAAAAUCGUGCACAGAAGACUUAGUUUAUGAUGUUUGUAUGCAUUGGUUCAAGAAUUGGAAAAACAUUAUUUUUCACCGGUCACUUGUUUAUUAUGACUUUAAAUAGAAUUACAGAAUCAAAAAAGUCUGAGCUCACGUUCGCCAGCAUGCUUACUACGUCUUAUGUUCCAGUUUUGUAAGAUCCAUGAUUCAUUGCAAUUUAAUACAACAUUUUUUGGUAAGGGCUGUUUGACUGAUACUCGAGGACGGAUAAUUACAUUGUUUUCGAUUUUUUUUUUUUUUUUUUUUUUUUGUCCACUUCCAAUAAAUUUUAAAUAUAUGCUCCAAAAUAGAUG